CAGCAGCCGCGGUAAUACAGAGGUCUCAAGCGUUGUUCGGAUUCAUUGGGCGUAAAGGGUGCGUAGGUGGCGCCGUAAGUCGGGUGUGAAAUUUCGGAGCUUAACUCCGAAACUGCAUUCGAUACUGCGGUGCUUGAGGACUGGAGAGGAGACUGGAAUUUACGGUGUAGCAGUGAAAUGCGUAGAGAUCGUAAGGAAGACCAGUGGCGAAGGCGGGUCUCUGGACAGUUCCUGACACUGAGGCACGAAGGCCAGGGGAGCAAACGGGAUUAGAUACCCCGGUAGUCCUGGCAGUAAACGGUGCACGUUUGGUGUGGGAGGAUUCGACCCCUUCUGCGCCGGAGCUAACGCGUUAAACGUGCCGCCUGGGGAGUACGGUCGCAAGAUUAAAACUCAAAGAAAUUGACGG
rnacentral:rRNA from 1 species